rnacentral:rRNA from 1 species
UACAGAGGGUGCAAGCGUUAAUCGGAAUUACUGGGCGGUAAAGACGUGCGCAGGCGGUGAUGUAAGACAGUUGUGAAAUCCCCGGGCUCGAACCUGGGAACUGCAUCUGUGACUGCAUCGCUGGAGUACGGUAGAGGGGGAUGGAAUUCCGCGUGUAGCAGUGAAAUGCGUAGAGAUCCGGAGGAACACCGACGGCGCAGGCAGCGUCCUGGCCGCUUGCUGACACUGAGGCACGAAAGCUGGGGGAGCAAACAGG